rnacentral:rRNA from 1 species
ACCAGACUCCUACGGGAGGCAGCAGUGGGGAAUAUUGCACAAUGGGGGAAACCCUGAUGCAGCGACGCCGCGUGAGCGAAGAAGUAUUUCGGUAUGUAAAGCUCUAUCAGCAGGGAAGAAAAAAAUGACGGUACCUGAGUAAGAAGCACCGGCUAAAUACGUGCCAGCAGCCGCGGUAAUACGUAUGGUGCAAGCGUUAUCCGGAUUUACUGGGUGUAAAGGGAGCGUAGGCGGCGCGUUAAGUCUGAUGUGAAAACCCGAGGCUCAACCACGGGAGUGCAUUGGAAACUGGCGAGCUGGAGUGCCGGAGAGGUAAGCGGAAUUCCUAGUGUAGCGGUGAAAUGCGUAGAUAUUAGGAGGAACACCAGUGGCGAAGGCGGCUUACUGGACGGCAACUGACGCUGAGGCUCGAAAGCGUGGGGAGCAAACAGGAUUAGAUACCCCAGUAC